rnacentral:lncRNA from 1 species
AGGUGGCUUCAGCAGAAGCAUUAGGACAUGAGUUGACGAAUGAGCUAAAGGAAACUUCUUUGCAGCUAAAGGAACCUUCACAAACUAGAAUGUACAGCGAACCAUCGGACAAGCAGGGUAAGAAAUUUGAACUGCUAGAGUUUUCUCAAUCUGAGAACAAGCCAUCUUUUGUUGCUGUCGAAAAACCACCUUGUGAUGGUUACAACUGGAGAAAUGUUCGUCUCAGGUGGCUUCAGCAGAAGCAUUAGGACAUGAGUUGACGACUGAGCUAGAGGAAACUUCUUUGCAGCUAAAGGAACCUUCACAAACUAGAAUGGACAGCGAACCAUCGGACAAGCAGGGUAAGAAAUUUGAACUGCAAGAGUUUUCUCAAUCUGAGAACAAGCCAUCUUUUGUUGCUGUCGAAAAACCACCUUGUGAUGGUUACAACUGGAGAAAAUAUGGCGAGAAGAAAGUAAAGGCUAGUGAAUGCCCUCGGAGCUACUAUAAGUGCACAAAUCUCAAAUGUCCAGU